rnacentral:rRNA from 1 species
GGGGAAUAUUGGACAAUGGGCGAAAGCCUGAUCCAGCAAUGCCGCGUGAGUGAUGAAGGCCCUAGGGUUGUAAAGCUCUUUUACCCGGGAUGAUAAUGACAGUACCGGGAGAAUAAGCUCCGGCUAACUCCGUGCCAGCAGCCGCGGUAAUACGGAGGGAGCUAGCGUUGUUCGGAAUUACUGGGCGUAAAGCGCGCGUAGGCGGUCCAUCAAGUCAGAGGUGAAAGCCCGGGGCUCAACCCCGGAACUGCCUUUGAAACUGGCGGACUAGAAUCUUGGAGAGGUCAGUGGAAUUCCGAGUGUAGAGGUGAAAUUCGUAGAUAUUCGGAAGAACACCAGUGGCGAAGGCGACUGACUGGACAAGUAUUGACGCUGAGGUGCGAAAGCGUGGGGAGCAAAC